rnacentral:ribozyme from 12 species
UUUUUUUUUUUUUUUUUUUUUUUUUUUUUUUUUUUUUUUGAAUAAUAAAUUGUUUGCACUACUAAUUGUAUGCAAUACAUCAUUUAAAAUAA